AAAAGAUGGAAUAGAAGGGCAGGGGCUGGGCUGCUGGCUUUGUUGCGUCAUCGGGGAUGGCUUGGCUACCUCAAACGGCCUAGCUGCCAAAUUACGUCUCCGUUUGGUACUUGCCAUAAUUUAGCAGCGAACGCUGUGUUAGUUGAAGGGGGCAAAAAGGGAAUAAGGCGGGGCGUCGCGUCGAUGUUGCGGGGUGUUGACGUUGUGAACAGCAUCUGCACGCCGGCUGCGAGAGACGCGUGAGCCAGAGCCGGAUGGUUAUGGCGGCUUAACUGACGGCUGGUUUAUGCGCUCGCUGUUUUGCAAUUGGUUUCUGGCAGUCAACUUGGAAUAUGUGAAUAUAUGGGUCGAUCACAACUCACAACGGAACGGCGAAUAAUAAUAAAAGCUUCCGAUUUAUGUUUGUCCUGUUAGUGUUAGAGCUUCUUGGUGUUGGAGUUGGAGGUUGCCUUUUAUUGGGCCUCUCCACAGUUCAACAACUCUUUUGUACUUCGUUUUGGAUUCAUUUUCUACAUCGCCGUCUCAGAUGGGCCUCCAAUUCUCACUUAUCCAUUUGCCUUUAUACAAUCACAUUUCUAUCCUUUUAAAUUCA